AACAGAGUGGUUACAGAAGCUUCUUGAGAGGUUUCAGGUAUCUGUAGGAAACACAAGAAAGUCACCACCUGACUUCAGGGUCAAAGUAAGUGGCCUGUGAAGGGCUCAAAGGUAGAGCAGGACAUAGAACUACUAUCCAUCAUCAACAAGGGAGGGUGUUGUUCUCACCCUCUUUUAACACCACAAACCUUGGUCUGCUCUAAAACCUGUGAGGAUGGCCUUGGUGCCUGUGUAUUGUCUUUGUCGACAGCCUUAUAAUGUGAACCACUUCAUGAUUGAGUGCGGCCUGUGCCAGGACUGGUUUCAUGGUAGCUGUGUUGGGAUUGAAGAAGAAAACGCUGUUGACAUUGACAUCUACCACUGCCCAGACUGUGAGGCUGUAUUUGGGCCUUCCAUUAUGAAAAACUGGCAUGGAUCGCCUAGAGGGCAUGAUGCUCUCAAGAGGAAGCCAUUGAUGACUGGGAGCCCUACCUCUAUUCACCAAAUCCAGGGUAGGAUUUUUGAAAGCUCUGACAAAGUGAUUUUGAAGCCCACAGGAAGUCAUUUAACAGUAGAAUUUCUGCUAGAAAGUAGCUUCAGCAUACCUAUCCUUGUCUUGAAGAAGGAUGGGUUGGGGAUGACACUUCCACCGACAUCAUUCACUGUCAGAGAUGUUGAGCAAUAUGUUGGUUCUGACAGAGAGGUUGAUGUGAUUGAUGUAGCCUGUCAGGCUAGCAGCAAGAUGAUGUUGGGAGAUUUUGUGAAAUAUUAUUACAGCAGGAAGAGGGAAAAGACCUUUAAUGUUAUUAAUUUGGAAUUCUCUAAUACUGGGCUUUCUAAUAUAGUAGAGAUGCCCAAGAUAGUUCGUAAGCUUUCCUGGGUUGAAAACUUAUGGCCAGAAGAUUGCGGCUUUGAGAGACCCAAUGUACAGAAGUAUUGCCUUAUGAGUAUGCAGAAUAGCUAUACAGAUUUUCACAUUGAAUUUGGUGGCACUUCAGCCUGGUACCAUGUAGUUAAGGGUGAGAAGAUCUUCUAUCUGAUCCGCCCAACAGAUGCUAACCUGACUCUUUUUGAGUGUUGGAGCAACUCUUCUAACCAAAAGGAAAUAUUCUUUGGUGACCAGGUAGACAGAUGUUACAAGUGUUCUGUGAAGCAAGGACAGACACUUUUCAUUCCUACAGGAUGGAUCUAUGCUGUGCUGACCCCAGUGGAUUGCCUAGCAUUUGGGGGAAACUUCUUACACAGUUUAAACAUUGAAAUGCAGCUCAAAGUCUAUGAGAUUGAGAAGCAUCUGUGUACAACAGACCUCUUCAAGUUUCCAAGCUUUGAGACCAUCUGUUGGCAUGUGGGGAAACACAUCCUGGACAUCUUUAAAGGUUUACGGGAGAAUGGGAGAUGUCCUGCAUCCUUCUUGGUCCAUGGUGGUAAAGCUCUAAACUUGGCCUUUCAAGCCUGGACAAGGAAAGAAGUUCUGCCUAACCGUGAUAAUGAGAUCCCAAAGACAGUGCAGACCAUACAGCUCAUUGAAGAUCUGGCUUGGGAAAUUCAUCUGGUUGAAGAUAAUUUCCAACAGAACAUCCCAAAGACAAGUUCUACCUUUAAGUUCCAGCAGCUCCAUACCAAUUCCUCUUCCUUAACUAGGCAAGCUCAUCCCACUUCAGUAUCCAAGUCUAAAUUAUCACUGCCCUCCAAAAAUGGUUCAGAAAAGAAAAGCCCAAAGUAUAAAGACACCUUUAAGAAGGAAGAACAAAUGAGCAAGGAGAGUUCAGCUCUGGGGCCUAAUUAUCAACAUAGCUGUAAUUUCAUGGAUCUAAAUAAUGAUCAACAAUGGAAGGUAGGCUGUCUCCAAAACGUAGAGUUUAACAUCACUAGUACUUGUUUGAAUGAUUCAGAUGAUAACUCAAAACAUGACAAAGCCUUCAAUGGGAAUGAGAGCCUGGUGCCUCUGUUGAUGGCUAAUGGCAAUACGAAGAGGGAAAAGAGCUUGUCCGAAUCUUGGCAAGCCAAAAUCACAAAGAAGGAAGAUACAUCAAGGUUGAUGAAAGAACAAGCGAUGGUAGACACAUUUGACUUGGAUUUAAAUGAUGAGCUACAGAUUGAAAAGGGAUUAGGUAAAGAGAAAGUGAGUCUGGUAGUAAGACCAAAAAUUCCUCCAAGUUUGCCCCAUGUGAAGCUUUGCUCUGACCAAAACCAAAGUCAUGAUCCAGGGGAAACUGAGAUCACCAUUGUAGAGAACUAUAAAAUAGAUAAGGAAAUGGUGGAAGAGGUUGAAGGCAAGUUUAAGAAUGGAAGUGAAUCUGGUGGAACUAUUGAUCCACUAAAGGCCAAGAAACAGGUGGGUGGACCUGGCUGUGUUAUCCUCACUGAUGACCCAAACUCUUCCAGCAAUAAGAAGGACAUUCAGGACACUGUGUGCAUGUCUGAUUUGCAGUCUUCUCCUCCUUCACAAGCUCCCUCCAGCCUUCAGGCAUUUUGGAGUGGGGGACAAGACCAAGGCAACAAAAGCCCUAGCAGUGUCUUGGGCACAGUGUCUGACAGUCCUGUUUCUCGGCGUACCCCAAGGAAAUGGCCCAUCAAGCGGCUAGCAUACUGGAGAAAUGAAAGUGAGGCGGGAAAUGCUUGUGUAGAUGAACAGGGCAGCUUAGGAGCAUGCUUCAAGGAAGCUAAGUAUAUCUUCUUAUCCCUGGAAUCUGAUGACGACGACGAUGAUGAUGAUGAUGACGACGAUGACAACAACCCUGCUUUGAGAGUUCUACCAAAGAAAAGGAAGAUAUCAGAUAAUGCCCCAAGGAUUCCUAGGGCAGAUGAGAUCCCAACACUACCAAAGCAGGACCAUUCUGUGCCUGAGGGUAACAGAGUUGGCUCCAUUGAGAUAGACUGGACUACAGCAGCUACAAAGCUGGCACAGGAGGUGAACAACAUGAAGCUCACUCUCACUAGUCCAGGAAAAAGCAGCCAAUAAACAGAGAAGCUAAGACUUAAAUCCAUGUCCUCCAACUUCAACUUUUUUCUGUUGCUUGAUACUUAAGUGAAUAUAUAGUUUAGUAAAAAUAUCCUAUUUAAAUGAAAUUUAUAGGGUUAUGUUUUUAAUGGGAAGUUCUAUAGAGUUGUAGAGUUUCUUAGAAAUGCCUUCUAGGGUGUUAUUGAGACCCAGAGGAGAUCAAGCAGGUCAAGAUCCUCUUUUACUAAUACUUGCCUCUGUCAUUUAUAUCUCAAUGCUGCGCAUAACUUAGAAAUAAAGGAAAUUUACUGCUUUAAAUAAAUUCAAGAUGAAGAAAACAAACAAAAGGACCACAACAAUAAAAUAUCAGCAAAUGAUCAACCAAUAUGUGUCUUGAGACUGUAUAUUCUUACAAAUACUUGAGAUCCUAAUUUGAAUUUUGCUUGGGCCUAGGAAUUUCUUCUGGGAUAGACUUCACCAAAAUAAAUGUAUUAGAAUCCCAUUGUUAACCAAACAGUUUUGAUCAAGAAUAUGCUGCAAAUUUUAUUAUUUCCCAAACACACAUGCCACUAGUCAAUCAUAAGGUUGUUUUAUGAAAUCUGGCAUGUCUGAUGAAUGAUUAAAAUCUUUGGAACAAAAAAAAAAAUAUCUUGCCUAAUACAAAUAAAUGGAAACCUCUGUAUUUUUGUUUGGAUAUGGCAUGUCUCCUAAAGAGUCACACACCAAGGCUUGUGUCCAAUGCUGAAGGUUAAAGGGAGUCUCUUGGGCUACAACUACUCUGAUUUUAUAAUUUCAGUUCUUCACUGUUAGAUUCGUAAGUAAACUGACUCAUGAAAGUGGUUGGGAAGUGUAGUCCCCAGGGUUUAUUUGGAAGUAGUAUUACCAUGACCCUGAGUUGUAUAUUUUUUAUCAAGCAUGUUGGUCUCUAUUUAUCAACUUCCAUGGAGUGCACAUUCUUAAACUAAUUAAAGAACUCUC